ACUUUCAUACUGGCGUUUAUACCGCACGUGAGCGAUCAAAAAUGAAGGUAUACUGCCUUUACGAUGGAAAGAAUGUCGUGGGCGAGGUCGUUAACAGCAUGGCUGAGUCCUUCAAGCUGAAGAUCGAUAUACCAGCCUCCUGGAAGGAAGGGCCUUGUGAGCGACUUCUUACUUUCUUUCUGAAAACACUCAAGGCGAAGCGUGAUGUCGAUGUGGCUGCCGACGACGUGGUGAUGCAGUGCAGUGGUCUCUCUAUCAGGCUGCGAGACUCUAUCGCAAGUUGCAUUUCUGAUUACAACGAUAUCGUUAUUCUGCACAAAAUACCGGGAAAGGUAGAGGGGACACAUGAAGGCGAACUGCGGUGUACUAACUUCGGCUGUAACCAGUACUACAAGGAAGAAGAGAAUACGGACAACUCAUGCCAUUAUCACUCCAAGGGUCCCGUAUUUCACGACUUGGAAAAGUACUGGGGCUGCUGCGAGGGCAAAAAGACCUUUGACUGGGAAAGUUUCGAGGGAAUCCCAAAGUGCUGUGUGGGUCGACACAGCACGGCAAACAAGCCGUUUGUGUUUCCGAAGGAGGAGGUGUUGAACAUCCCUCUUUCGGCCUCUCAGGUGGCACGAGCAAGCGGGGCAUCCUCGGGCAUGCACGACGGGAAGCGAACUACUGGGCCGAGGGAGUUCGAGGGGGCUGCAUUUGCGCAGACUGAGCCGCAGCAAAUUGUGGAUGGCAAGGCGAGGUGUCGGAAUUUCGGUUGUGCAAAGGAGUUUGUCGUCGCGGAGAACACGGAUUCAUCUUGCCGUUACCACAAAGAAGGACCUGUUUUCUGGGACACGUACAAGUACUGGAAGUGCUGCCCGGAGAAGAAGUGCUUAGAGUUUGAUGACUUUGUGAAUGUGCCCGGGUGCUGCGAGGGAGCGCACAGAGUGUGAAAGUGUACAAAAUCUAGCACAUAUGCAUAUAUGUGAGUAUGAGGCGCAAAACUCCCCUGUUUCUUCGUAAGCAGACUAAAGUAAAUCAUGCUUUUGUUUUCAGUCCCUUCUUCGGCUUUUCUCCCUGGACUGUGGCAAGCAAAAGAAAGGUGUUUAGAAUGCAUCGCUGCGGCGAUGGAGUUAAUGAGGGUAUUAGGUGUCGUCUGUAUCUUGGAUGCUUCGCUGUCUUUGUUUUGCCUUUGCAUGGGUUUCCUUUUCUUGUGGCAACGGAAUGGAG
rnacentral:misc_RNA from 1 species